ACUCCUGCGGGAGGCAGCAGUGGGGAAUUUUGGACAAUGGGCGAAAGCCUGAUCCAGCAAUGCCGCGUGAGUGAAGAAGGCCUUCGGGUUGUAAAGCUCUUUUGUCAGGGAAGAAACGGUGAGAGCUAAUAUCUUUUGCUAAUGACGGUACCUGAAGAAUAAGCACCGGCUAACUACGUGCCAGCAGCCGCGGUAAUACGUAGGGUGCAAGCGUUAAUCGGAAUUACUGGGCGUAAAGCGUGCGCAGGCGGUUUUGUAAGUCUGAUGUGAAAUCCCCGGGCUCAACCUGGGAAUUGCAUUGGAGACUGCAAGGCUAGAAUCUGGCAGAGGGGGGUAGAAUUCCACGUGUAGCAGUGAAAUGCGUAGAUAUGUGGAGGAACACCGAUGGCGAAGGCAGCCCCCUGGGUCAAGAUUGACGCUCAUGCACGAAAGCGUGGGGAGCAAACAGGAUUAGAUACCCUGGUAGUCCCAUG
rnacentral:rRNA from 1 species